rnacentral:rRNA from 1 species
CCUACGGGAGGCAGCAGUGAGGAAUAUUGGUCAAUGGGCGCGAGCCUGAACCAGCCAAGUAGCGUGAAGGAUGACUGCCCUACGGGUUGUAAACUUCUUUUAUAAAGGAAUAAGGUGAGGCACGUGUGCCUUUUUGUAUGUACUUUAUGAAUAAGGAUCGGCUAACUCCGUGCCAGCAGCCGCGGUAAUACGGAGGAUCCGAGCGUUAUACGGAUUUAUUGUGUUUAAGGGGAGCGUAGAUGGGUGGUUAAGUCAGUUGUGAAAGUUUGGGGCUCAACAGUAAAAUUGCAAUUGAUACUGGCAGUCUUGAGUACAGUAGAGGUAGGCGGAAUUCGUGGUGUAGCGGCGAAAUGCUUAGAUA